AUACUACUCCCUUCGUCCGGAAAUACUUGUCCUAUAAAUGGAUGUAUCUAGGCUUAUUUUAGUUACAUAUACAUCAAUUUUAUUCUUUUCUAGGACAAGUAUUUCCGGACGGAGGGAGUAUGUU
rfam:Hordeum vulgare subsp. vulgare, WGS project CAJW01000000 data, contig: morex_contig_39373